CCUACGGGUGGCAGCAGUGAGGAAUAUUGGUCAAUGGGCGCGAGCCUGAACCAGCCAAGUCGCGUGAAGGAUGACUGCCCUACGGGUUGUAAACUUCUUUUAUAAAGGAAUAAAGUGAGGCGCGUGUGCCUUUUUGUAUGUCCUUUAUGAAUAAGGAUCGGCUAACUCCGUGCCAGCAGCCGCGGUAAUACGGAGGAUCCGAGCGUUAUCCGGAGUUAUUGGGGUAAAAGGGAGCGUAGAUGGGAUGUUAAGUCAGUUGUGAAAGUUUGCGGCUAAACCGUAAAAUUGAAAUUGAUACUGGCAGUCUUGAGGACAGUUGAGGUAGGCGGAAUUCGUGGUGUAGCGGUGAAAUGGUUAGAUAUCACGAAGAAAUCAGAGUGCGAAGGCAGCUUACUAAACUGCCACUGACAUUGAUGGUCGAAAGUGUGGGUAUCAAACAGGAUUAGAUACCGUGUAGUC
rnacentral:rRNA from 1 species